UAUACAUACUAUAUUUCUAAAAUUGUGCAAGCUGAAAACUCUCUAUUCCCUGGCUUUAAAACAUUGUCCCAUUUUUAUUUGUAGGACUGGAGUUCUUCCAUGACUCACUGCAGGGUGAGGGGCAUAGUAGGUAUAGUCAAGGGAGCAGAAGUGAGUCAGAUGUGAGAAAACAAGAUCAGAACAAGGGAGUAAUGUCUAACAUCAACUGUGAGAGUGGAAACUGGAUCCUGGUCUGGUCACCAUUGUUUCCUGAGACUCUUAUAUUGCUCGACACUUGAUAAGACUACUGAAGCUGAAAGAAGAUUCAAGCUUAUCUCAGUUCACACAAUUUAUUUGUACUGUCAGUAGGGUUAGACAUUAUGGAUUUUAACACCUAACUUGAAAAUCAUUUUUAUCUUCUUAUACAGAGGUCUAUAUCAGUUCUAGUUUAAAAAACAAAGCAGCAUACAGGUUAUUGGUUCAAGCUGAUGACUGUUUAACAAGCUCCAACACAAUCUCAUUCAAUUUUUCAGUAACAUGUUAUUGAAGACACAAAGAAAAUCAAAACUUACAGCACAAAAAGUGCAGAUUGACAUAAUGAGAGUAUAGAAGGAAUUGACAUGAAUUAUAAAGCAGAUCAAACUUGUUACUAAAAUCUGUUUAUAUUUCAACAAAAGAUGAACCUUGAGUUUGCCUCAUGAAUGUGUAGAUGUUACCAUUUUUAAAGCCAAUUCUUAACUCCUUUUCUAUAAUAAAGUUAAGUGAGACACUGUCUUGUUUGACUUUGCAGUAGGUAGUUCUUAUGAGAGUGAACAAAUAUGUUUUCUUGCCCGAUUUAACUCAAACUUGGCAAUGUAACUUGCUUUGGCCAAAGGAAUAUGAACAGAUGGGACACUGUAGUACUUCCAAACCAAGAUUUUAAGAAGCACAUUGUCUUCAUCCAUUUGUGUUGCUCUAAAGGAAUUCCUAAAGCUGAGUAAUCAAUAAAGAAUAAGAAGUUUAUUUGGCUGUACAAGAAUCAUGGGACUAUAUCUGCUUCUGGUGAGGGCUUCUACUCAUGGUGAAAGGUGAAGCAAAGCCCAAAUGGGAGAGAUUACAUGGGGAAAGAGGAAGCAAAACAG